UUGAGCAAGAGUCAUGUGCAUACCUCCUGAGAUGGCCAUCUUCCUCGAGAUAAGUCCACACAAAAAGACCGUUUCCCGGCCAUUAGCAGCAGCUUAUCCCUCUGUUGUUGCCCCUGGCCUUGUCCAUCUGUACUCCUUAAAGGAUUUCACAACCCUUAGCCAGGACCUGUCCAUCAAUGUCCUCCAGAGAGAAGAUUUCUCUACCUUUGCCCGGGACUUGCCUGGACUUGUUCCUCAGCAGACUUUGAGUCAAUCAUAUAAAAGAAUAAUCUCUUACACAGAUACUAGCUGAAACCAAGGAAUCUGCCAGUUCAGAUUUGAAUCUGACUCAGAUUCCAUAUUUCAAGAUUAGUCAGUACAAAGAAACCAAAGAGGAGCCUCUCGAAUAGGAUACCCCAUGGACUAGUUUUUGUCCCAAAGCUAUUCAGCAUUUUUGUCAAUGCUGCACCAUAGCUUGCAGGUGUAACAGAGGCUGACAGAGCAGUACAUGACUAUGAUAGUGAAGUAUGUUCUUGGUUUGCACAAUGAGUUUACCUGGUCACUUUUGUCUGGCCAUGCAAAUUAAUGACAUUUCUGGAUUAUCCGUCAGCCCAAAAUAAUAUUUUUGCUUUCCUGUUUCUAAUGACACUUCAGCACCUGCAGUUAGGGAAGAGCAUCUGUAAAACUAGGUUAAGUUCCUUAAACCUAGGGGUGGAUGUGACAUUAGCUGGGGGCUCAGCAUAAUUAUUAUAUUUUAUGGGAAUUCCCUAGACAGCAGUGAGCUAGUACUGCUAAUGAUGUCUGGCAGAAAGAUUACAUACUAAUAUGGAAAAUGACAGCAUGGAAUACAUUUAUCCCUCCAGUUCAUUCAUGGUGCUUCAGGGCAUCAUAAGUGCUUCAGGCUUCGUCACCCACAAAUGAGGGACUCCACACUCACCACGAAGCCAUCAGCAAAUGCUGGAUCACAGAACUCUCCCUUCAUUGCGCUGCACCCAGGCCCUUUAUGUUGGAUUUAGUCUACAUGGACACAGACAUACAAAUGACUCUAUAGACUGCGUAACUCAGGAACAGAACAAGUGCACUGAAAUAUCUGAAACAGAAAGCUGCUCUGAUUGAUGUUUCCAUCACCUAUGAGACGGAGAGUACUGAAAAAGGAAGAACUCCUUUUCAGACGAAUCCAGUGAAUCAAGAGAAAAAGGAAGCCCAGGUUGUAGGGUUCUGAAAGUUCAACAAACCUGCUUGUGUCUGCCUAAAGAUGCUGCAUAGAUGGACUUCAAAGAGAAGAUGCAGGAAAACAGAUCACAGCGGACAAGAGUACUCAACCUAACAUUUGCAAUAUCAGGCAUACUCCUGCACUGAUCCAUCCUGGCUGCCAGGAUCAUCCUGCAUCCAGACCAGAAAUCUGCAGUGGAACUAAAAACUGGCUAUUGGAAAGAACUCCAUUUUUCACCAGGAGACCUAAAGAAAACAGCUCUUCCUGAGGCAUCACUCUUUUUUCUUUCUGACAUCAUUACUGUGGUUUCAUUUCCAAAGUUCUAAAAAAAGACCAACAACCAGCUUUACUGUUAAGGCUUGAAAAUAUACAGACAUAAAAUAUGUAAUCUAUCUUAGAUUUCAGCCAGAAUAUUGCAUUGCUGUGUUUUGAAAUCAUGACUGUGUAACAAAACUGACAGUUUUACUGGGAAAAGCCACUGCUGAAAACACACAGAACAGUUCUCGGAGUUGUGACUGUCUCACUACCUGAAUAUGAGAACUGCAACAAACACAGCUUUACUUUAUUCUCCAUCUUAUUCUCAAUUUUCUUUGGAGAAAUAUUCAGAGGAAAUAAAAGGUACACUGUUUUACAUUUGAAUCAAUACAAACACCUUCUCCAUUUCAAACUACUCUCCGUCAGAAAUGACCUUUCUAAAACAUAUCAUGUGAAAAAAGCUGCCUCUUGCCUUCCUUCUUGUUCCUCUCUAUCAUCCUCAGCCUGCAUGGAGAUGCAAGAAGCUCCAGCUUCUCUGGCUCUCCUGGAGGGAGGUUUCAGAGAUGCAGUCUGUUAGCAUGACACAAAACUUAGAUCAUUGCUACACCCAAGUGUUUCUAAUGCACUCACCUUAAAUAACUGUUAG
rnacentral:lncRNA from 7 species